UACGUAGGGGGCAAGCGUUGUCCGGAUUUAUUGGGCGUAAAGAGCGUGUAGGCGGCUAGGUAGGUCCGUUGUGAAAACUCGAGGCUCAACCUCGAGACGCCGAUGGAAACCAUCUAGCUAGAGUCCGGAAGAGGAGAGUGGAAUUCCUGGUGUAGCGGUGAAAUGCGCAGAUAUCAGGAGGAACACCAAUUGCGAAGGCAGCCCCGCUGGGACGUGACUGACGCUGAGACGCGAAAGCGUGGGGAGCAAACAGG
rnacentral:rRNA from 1 species